AUUGAACGCUGGCGGCAUGCCUUACACAUGCAAGUCGAACGGUAACAGGUCUUCGGAUGCUGACGAGUGGCGAACGGGUGAGUAAUACAUCGGAACGUGCCCGAUCGUGGGGGAUAACGGAGCGAAAGCUUUGCUAAUACCGCAUACGAUCUACGGAUGAAAGCAGGGGACCGCAAGGCCUUGCACGAACGGAGCGGCCGAUGGCAGGUUAGGUAGUUGGUGGGAUAAAAGCUUACCAAGCCGACGAUCUGUAGCUGGUCUGAGAGGACGACCAGCCACACUGGGACUGAGACACGGCCCAGACGCCUACGGGAGGCAGCAGUGGGGAAUUUUGGACAAUGGGCGCAAGCCUGAUCCAGCAAUGCCGCGUGCAGGAUGAAGGCCUUCGGGUUGUAAACUGCUUUUGUACGGAACGAAAAGGCUCUGGUUAAUACCUGGGGCUCAUGACGGUACCGUAAGAAUAAGCACCGGCUAACUACGUGCCAGCCGCCGCAGUAAUAC
rnacentral:rRNA from 1 species